GAUUCCUCAAGCCAACUGCCUACAUGAAGAAAAAGCAUUAACUGUAGGGAUCGGAUUGAUUAGUGAACAUUCCUGUCUGGUAGCAUAAGGAAAGACAUCAAGGAGGUGGAAAAGAAAGAUGUGGAUCAGCAAUCAAAGAGGAGGCAGCAAAAGAGAGGUCAUUUAAUGCACCCUUGCCUCCAGGUUAGGCCAUUUUUGGUGAACUCACAUUUCAGGAAUUCUGGAUUCAGGAAAAUUUAAUUUCAAGCAGCUGACCUUUCACUGUGAUGCAGCUGGGGAAAGAUCUGGAAGGUUGGUACCAUUCUGGGCCAGCCAGGUGCAAAAAUAAUUCCCAGGGGAUGAUGGAUGAAGCCAACCUGAAGAGUGCAGGGGCCUGCCUGGAACAAGGGUGGUGCACAAAAAGGAUAUCAGGAACAUCCCUGGGUGAUGAGCCUCCUCUCCCGGGGCCCUGGACCAACCCCAGACCAAAUCAAAGAUAAAUAUGAAAGGGAAGUUGCUUUGUGAGAGGGCCAGAAAGACUUUUUACCUGGGAAAAAGAACAAGUCUUGAGGUCUGAGAGUGAGGAGAGAGAAAAUCCUCUGAACUAAUAAUUUCUUUAUUCAUUGUCAGGAGUGAAUUUUUUUUUUUUUUUAAUGGCUUUGCCUGAUGUCAGUCUAGAACAAAAAUUGAUGCUCUAGCACUGCCCACGAGAUGCUCCCAAGCUCUAUUUCUGUGUUUCCUGCGUUAUUCUGUAACCCUACAACAUGAGUUUCUGUGUGUAGGUGUUUUGGGAACAUAUUUAGGAAGCUGCUGUUCUUCUGGCCAGAGGUCUCAAUGGAAUUCCUCCUUCUGAGACACGAGGUUGGUGCCAUGGGUUUCUCUGCAGCAGAGCAGUGUUUCUCUUAUUGAAAAUAUUUCAAUAAGAAACAAGAGAGAUUCAACAUUGUUGAUAUCUCUGAAUGCACCCAGCCUGCCUGAGCUGCCACAUACCAUAUUAAUCCAGCAAAUGUCCUGUACUGGGAAUUACAACUCUUCAUCUUCUCCCAGGUUUUUAUCAGCCCCUUGAAAUGCAUUUUUUCAUACAGUCUUUUAGCAAAGUAGCCCAUUCUAGCACUGAAUUGGAAGCACAAAAUAACAAAUGUCGAUAAUGUUCCAGACAAAAACCUGGCAGAAAGGUGCCUGGGAAAAUUUGUGGGCUUCAUUGGUUGCCACAGGUAGAAACACAGCUCUGGUGCAGCAAAUUAGCUGAUUAUGAGCUACUUAAAAAUUCAAAUUCAGACAGCCCUUCAGACACAAUUUAAACCAUUAUUUUAAGUGCAAACUGGGCUAAAAAUAAUUGGAUUCUAACCUCAUACCUCCUAAGCCUGUACCCAAGGUUUCUAAAUGGAGAAUGGAUCAGCCCAUUUGGAGUUGUGAAUCCCAGGCUGGAGGUGUUUGUGUCCCUGCUGCCCCUGAAAGGAGUCUGUUCAGACUUCCCUACCCAGUCUGGAGGCUUUCCUCCCCAGCCCAGUGCCUCCAGCAAGGGGAGAUGGAUCUUAUCAUCAGGCUGCAAUUUGUAGAGUAAUUAGGACCUUGACUGUGACAACCUUUAGCCUGUCAGCAGUUGUGGUUUAGCUCAUAGUUAAAAUGACAGUGGAAAGUCUAUUGCAGCUACUCUAAAUAUAUCCAUAUUUUAACUAGAUGAGGUGAUAUGAGGGUUUGCAGUGAUUUGUUUAGAUAUACAGGGGAGUGUCAAAGGACUCUUUAAACUGGGACUGAAUCCAUUUGAUUGUCUGAAAGGUGAUUUUGAUUGCCUUUUCCUCCUUUAGAGCUGGAUGGUGAUGAGAGCAGCUUUCCUGCAAUGGGAAAGCAGGGAAUCCCCAAAGUACAACCAAAGAGUAGGUACAAACCUGUCACGUGCUCUAUUCCACAUCAAGAAAUGUCUUUUAUUCAGAUUUAGCAAAUUAGCAGGUAGAGCUAAUCAAGCAAUUUGACCACUGAGCAAUUUUUAAUGCUCCAACAAACUGACCUCAAACUACACAAAGGCUGUGCAGCUGAAUUGUAAACUCCUUUUAUAUACAUAGAUUUUUUUUUUUUCUAUCCCGCCUACAUUUCAGCACACUUUUAAGGAGUUGUCAUUAUCCUAAUUAUAAUUAAGGCACUUGAAAUAAAUCCAGAGAUAGUAAACAGUGUAAAAAUAUCUAAAUAGGGGAGCUGGUCCAUUGAUUUUAUGGCUAAGUUAUCACCUCAUGUAUAAAUGCUACAAUUGAUAAACAAUACCUUUAAUUCAGCAGUCAAAAUGAUGCUAUUAACUUGGAAAACUGAUGAAAAAAAAUGCUAAUGUGAAUACCUCUGUUUCUAAGCAGAGUGACAAGAAUCACUGCUCCAUACGAGCCAAUCCGAGGGCAGAUUGAACUUUUGGCACACAAAUCAGUGGUGGAGAGGAGGAAUUUCCUUCUCACUGGGAAUGCUGGGUUGCUCCUCCUGGACCAGGGAGUUUUCUAUCAAAAUCACAAUAUCUCAAGUAUUAACACCAGAGGCAAUUAAUGGGAUUUCCAAGAGUGUCUGGGGCCUGGAUGCCAGUCGAGUUUCUAGGUGAUUUUUAAAUGAUGUCUAGAACCCAUCUGCAUCCUUUGGCACCCACAGCCCUUCAAACUGUCAACUUUAGAUGUCUGCCUUGAUUUGUGAUGGGUCUAGUCUGAAGCAAAACUAAUUGUGACUGACAGCACAAAAAGACAGGUGCAGAAUUGAAGCACAGGUCUUGGGCUCACAGAGCUGAUGGACUUUUAGUGUAUUUUUAAUGUUUCACUUUCACUGGCUCCUUAAUUAAAUAAAAAUAUUUUAGAUAGAGCAGCAGAAAUCAACUUCUUUGACUGAUAUGAAUCCUGUUUACUCUCCAACUCUGAACUCAGCAGGUUAAGUAAUUGGGAGACAGAAAAGUUCCUAUAUUUCUAUUUCCAGCUGGUGGUACACAAAAGGCAGGAAGUUAUCUCAUUAAUGGGGCACCAGCUUUAUGCAAAUUAUAGUAACAAAAAGGCUUCCCUUCAUACUUUUCAUAAAUUACCUAAUAAAGUAGGAAUAAAUGGCCAUAUUCAAGAGCCUUUGUUGUAUUUUUAGCACAAGACUCUUUCUGUUACUGCAAAUAUGACUAAAUGCGCCUCGUUCAAAAGGGGUGUUUAUGAAAUAAGGCCACUCAAAAGCUUUUAUUCCUUAACAGCCUUCAGUUACUUUUAUGGCACAAAAUUAACAUAAUUAGUCACAGAGAAUAGAUGACAUAAGCAGCGUGCCAUGCACAAAAGGGGAAACCAGUAUCUAAGGAAGGUAUUUUGAGAGAUCAAAAAUUUUCAAAGUGCUCAAUACUAGAAGGUCCUUUUUAUUUGUGCACAGCCUUAAGAUACUUUCUUACUCCGUGAAAUUCCCAUAAUGAGAUGCAGCAGACAGAUGACAUUAGCGAUGAGCCAUUAGAAAGAGGUCAGUUUCCUCUGAAAGAUAGUCACUGUUCCUGCUCGUCAUUAAUUUGCAGCUUCAAAGCAGCGAGCAUAUGAUAGUCUGGCAUGUUAAGCAAGUUGCAGUUAUCUUUAAAUAACCAUUUUUUUCCAGUUAUUAGAAGCUAAAGUUUUUAAACUUCUGACUGAAAGCAAAAUUAAAGCACGCAGCAGUGUAAAAAGGCUACGGAGAGAUUAGAAAAAGGAAAUCAAAUGUGUUUUAGAAAUGAAGUUAGCUUUUCCCUAGGGAAAGGCUGCCUUAACUUUUAGUCCGAGAAUUUGGGGUUGCAUAUUGACCUCAGAGACUUGAUUGCUUGCUGGUAAAGGAGAGAAACUCACUAUUUUUAGCUGUUAUCUCCUUGUUGGUUAGCACAGCCAGAUGUAAAGGGCAGAAAUGCACAACUAUGGAAAUAACAUUUACCAGAAGGAAAGAUACCCGAGGUUCUUGAGCAAGGUGGGGGAAGAUAAAUGUAUCUUCUGUCCUUGUGGUUUGGUGGGAGCUUUGGUUACACCUCUGCUUUGGCAAUGAAGUAUAUUUGGAUAUUAGGAAAGGCUCAGGAGGUUCAGAUCAUCCCUUUUCCAUGAAUCCUUAGGCGCAGUGCAACAGGCAGGAGACAACUCCAACGUGUGGCAUUGAAAUCUUGAUGCAAAAAGCCUUGUCAGAUCUCUAAAUUGUGUCCCAUGUCCCAGUGGGAACUAAAACCCCUCCUGUUUGGGUGAAUUAUCUGAUCAUGUUGAGGCAUAAGCCCACUGAAUUAAAUUCUAAUUUAUAAUAAUGUCCGUAAGGCAAAUUAAUACUUCUGAUUUCCUCAAACCUGUGUUGACUCCAGUAACUCUGGCACAGCACAAAUCCACUGGCAGUGCUCUCCUCUAUUCAGCAUUGUCCAGGCAGCAGGACCAAAUCUUGGCUUGAAGAAUCAGCCAGCACUGCUUAAACCAGAAUCCUUGUGAGGCUUCACCCCUGACAGACUCGGCAUCAGGCAUAAAGUGAAGACCAGAAAUGAAAGCUCCAGGGUCCUCAACACAGGAAAGACAUGGAUCUGCUGGAGAGGGUUCCAAUGAAGGACGAGGAGAUGAUUAGAGGGGUGAAACAUCUCUGCUGAGGAAAAGCUGAGAGGGAUAAAUGGGAUAUUGGUAAAUAACUCUUCCCUUGGAGGGCACAAAUCACCCAGAGGAGCUGUGGCUGUUCCUGGAUCCCUGGAAAUGUCCAAGGCCAGGCUGGACAGGGCUUGGAGCCCUCUGGGAUAGUGGAAAGUGUCCCUCUGGAUUGUAGAUGACCUUUUGGCCCCUUCUAACCCACACCAGCUGGGGAUUCCGUGUACUGGAAUUCCACUCUGCUUGGAGAGUGGAUGAGGAGUUUUCAAUUUCAGUUUUUACUUUUGGUGCUCAGAAAUCUGUUCAGUCCUUCUCAUCCACAAGAGAUGAGACAGUACUUGGAAAUCAAUCCAGGUUUUUACAGCUUAAAAGAUUAGCCUACCACAAGGAACUGUUUUACUUUAUUAUUGUUGGUUUUAUUAACAAAAUUGCUGGCAAUCCCAAGACUAUAAUUUAUAUCAGUAUCCUAUUGUGGUAAAACCCCCAAAAACACAUAUGAAGACAGAGAACCUGACCCAAACAAUUUGGUGAAAAAAUAGACACGCUAUUGAACAUGACAAGGAAUGAGUGGUGACUUAGAUUUGUAAAUCAUCCAGUCAAUCAUGUUAUAUUCAUAUCAUAUAUCAGGAUUUCUAUUCAUUUUAACAGGUCUCAAUUAUUUUAAUAUAUGGGCCAAUAAAUGGAUACAUGUUCAUCUCUCAAGGAAGCUGAUUUCUUACUGCCACCACGGAAGUCACAGAUAUGGAAAAAUGGGAAAAAUUGGCUUUGGACCAGACAUGAUGUAAGUAUGGAUGAAGGGAGGAGUGGCAGGGAGGGGUGGCAUUGAUGAAAAAACAAUGGAAAAUAGAGGAAGGUGAAAUACUCAAAAGGUCAAGCAGGAAAAGAGUGCAAGGAUAGGCAGGAAGGGAUGGUCAGCACUCAGGGUUUACACAGGUCUUACAGAAAAGGAGAAAGAGGUAAUCCCAUGGAUGAGAAUGUCACUGAAAAUUUCAUUGAAUUGACCUGGAAGCCUGAAAAUCUAAAUUGGUAGAGAAGUAUAAGCAACUUUAUUUCUGUUGGUUUUAGCUCAUAAAAUUGUUGUUCGUUUCCAUGUCUCCAUUAACAUUGAUUUUCCAAAUCCAUAUCAAAUUUAUGUUUCACCCAAACACCUCAGAGUGGGUGAAAGUGCAGAGGCCAAACUAAUAAUUUGAGAUUUGAGCUGAGGCCUAUCCAGGGUGAAAUUUGACUGUGGUUUUGCAUUACUUCUUUCAGUGAUUCACUGUUUGAACUUGUGCAUGCUUUUCCUUUCAGGUGUGAGUUUCACUGUAUUAACAUUACUCAGAGGAGCAACAAACUGCACCACCUUACUUAGCCACAGAUUGUUUUGGUUCUGCAAACUGAUCUCUUGUAUUUGCUAUUUCACUUGCUCAUUUAUUUGGAAUUCUUAAAUUUAUUUGGAUUACUCUGAAUCUUGUAGCUAUUAGCAUAGAAACAUGGAGUGAUUUUGGAUGGAAGACACCUUAAAACUCAUGUCAUACCAAGCCCCUGCCAUGGGCAGGAACACCUUCCACUGUCCCAGGGUGAUCCAGCCUGGCCUUGGACACUUCCAGAGAUCCAGAGACAUCCACAGCCUCUCUGGGCACCCUCUGCUAGGGCCUUACCACCUUCAGGGUAGAAUUUCAUCCUAAUAUUCAUUCUAAACUUACUCUUUGCCAGUUUGAAGCUAUUCCCCCUUUCCCGUCCCUCCAGGCCCCUGUAAAUUGUCUCUCCUGUCCUUUCUUGCAGGCUCCCUUCAGGUCCUGGCAGGCCACACUUAAAUCACCCCAAAGCUUUUCUCCAGGUGAACAAUGCCAGCUCUCCCAGCAGAGCUGCUCCAUCCCUCUGCUCAUCCUGGUGCCUCCUCUGGAUGUUCCAGCAGCUCCAGGUCCCUCCUGAUGGGGAAGCCCAGAGCUGGAUUGCUGCUCAGCUCCACAUCCAGCAAGGCCAUUUGCUGCCAUCCAGAGAUGGAGAUACAGCUGAUUUUAAGGUUGCAGCCAGACCUUAGGCUCUACACCUCCCUCAGGAUCAUAUUUGAGCUGCUUUGGCCCUUUUUUUACUAUUUUUGUGUUAUAGAGUAAAAAUGUCAGCUCCCAAAUUUUUGCUUUGCGAAGGAAAGAAAAUUAGCCUUAUUUUUUCAUCUCAGUUAAGGAAGGGAAUGAAUGUUAAGAGCCACAAUUCAUAAAUAGGUGGAAAAAAUUGUUGAUGACUGUCCCAACUUUGGGCUUUACCUCAGUAAAGCUCAUGCCCAGCUGUGAGCAUGUUUAUAUUUUAAUGGGCCUUGGCAUCAACCACAACCUGAGCAAGUCAGAAUUCCAUGUUUCCCCCUCUCAUGUUAGAGUUUGGUAGUACAGCAGAAAACAAAGGAAUUGGAAGAAGAAUCCUAUUAAUUCCGGCUGCUCUAAUGCAAAACCGGGUUUCAUUUUUAGAUUUCUAUUUUCUACUUUAAUUAUAUAAAUCUGAACAUACUUUCAAGAUUAUGAAAUAAGAGCCAGGAAGCCAGUUAUUUUUCAUCAUUUAUUUUUAAAGCAAAUUUAUCUUUGAAUUGUCAUCUGUUAAAAUUCCUGAGAAGCAGACCACAAAUGAGUACAAUAUGAACAUGAUUUUCCAUGCCAGCCCAAUUCAAGUAAAAGAUGUAAAGAUUUUUUUUUUUUUUUUUAGGUUUUCCUUUGAACACUUCAGCUGGACACAAAGUGUGACCAGUUCCACCUCAGCAGGCCUUGGGUCCCUUUCCAAGUUUACAGCGUGUAUGUGCACACUUGCACAUGUACAUACAAAUAAUACCAAGCUAAGGCAUGUAUUGGCAACAUAAACUCAAUUAAAUCUUCAGUUUAAUGGAUUCUGAAACCUUGAAAUAUUCUGCAAAGGGAGCAGCAAUGGGAACACAGGAAAGAGCUAAAAAAUGCUGUCUUGGAAAUCACACAGAAGAUCCCUAAAUGCUUCUUU